rnacentral:rRNA from 1 species
AUUGAACGCUGGCGGCAUGCUUUACACAUGCAAGUCGAACGGUAACAGGCCGCAAGGUGCUGACGAGUGGCGAACGGGUGAGUAAUGCAUCGGAACGUGCCCAGUCGUGGGGGAUAACUACUCGAAAGAGUAGCUAAUACCGCAUACGAUCUAUGGAUGAAAGCGGGGGACCGUAAGGCCUCGCGCGAUUGGAGCGGCCGAUGUCAGAUUAGGUAGUUGGUGGGGUAAAGGCUCACCAAGCCAACGAUCUGUAGCUGGUCUGAGAGGACAACCAGCCACACUGGGACUGAGACACGGCCCAGACUCCUACGGGAGGCAGCAGUGGGGAAUUUUGGACAAUGGGCGCAAGCCUGAUCCAGCAAUGCCGCGUGCAGGAAGAAGGCCUUCGGGUUGUAAACUGCUUUUGUACGGAACGAAACGGCUCUGGUUAAUACCCGGGGCUAAUGACGGUACCGGAAGAAUAAGCACCGGCUAACUACGUG